rnacentral:sRNA from 1 species
ACAACAUUUCUAUUUUUUUAUAUAAUUUCGGAAAUUUAUUUAUUUUACAAAAUUUCUAGUGAAAGUUUCUAUUUUGUGAAAAUUCGGUGAAAAUUCCAAAUUUUGAUUUGCUGUUCAUGAAAUAAAACAACAUAUUUCGGAGAAAGCUACAAUAUACGUCUCGACGAUGUAUAACGAUUCGCUUUUUAAACUCUGAGCCUAAAUGGUUGUUAUACGGCAUGCAAUGAAUGUCAGGUUCUUUGGUGUAUAAAUACUUACGCACACUAGCACGGAUCCAUACGUGCACAUAUGUACACGAAAAAAGAGCAAAGACAAAUAAUUACACUAUUGUUAAAUGGAAAACUCUACACUUGUUAAUCUGAAUACUAGGAACUUCUGAUUGCAAAUCAACAUCAACAAAUGCUUAUUCUGUUGCCGAACCCAUACAAAUAUAUAUAUACAUCCAUAUGCUAUAGAUUACUUCAUCAGGACGAACCAUGUCUCCCCAUAACUUGCUUAUGACUAUUAUUUUCCCGGCUUACGACACACUUUUUUUUUUAGAUAGAUAACGAUAACUAGAUAACUAGAUAAGUUAUCUAUGUAUAUGCCAUAUAAUUCCAUUUUAAUGGAAUUCAUAUUAGUAUAUACAAUUUUUUCUAUUAGAUGCACUACGUCUCGAUCAGUUCAGAUGGUGACUGAUCGGUCGGGGCAUUGAAAGGCGUACAUACAAUUUGUAGUUUCAUACAGAUCAAAUAGUUCUACUAUACACGCGCUUCCUAAUACACUUCAUCGUCUGCAGUGAAGGCAGUGAAGGCGCCGCAACUGUAUAUCUAUAUGCACACAGUGAUGUAGAUAUAUGUAUAUAUAACAUGUAGAAUAAAAAAGACGUAUGCCAAUUUUACGAUUUUUUAUAAUCGAAAACCAAAUAAAAAUUAAAGGCACUCAAACCAUUUGUUAUU